rnacentral:rRNA from 1 species
AACCAUUGGAAACGAUGGCUAAUACCGCAUGAUGCCUACGGGCCAAAGAGGGGGACCUUCGGGCCUCUCGCGUCAGGAUAUGCCUAGGUGGGAUUAGCUAGUUGGUGAGGUAAGGGCUCACCAAGGCGACGAUCCCUAGCUGGUCUGAGAGGAUGAUCAGCCACACUGGAACUGAGACACGGUCCAGACUCCUACGGGAGGCAGCAGUGGGGAAUAUUGCACAAUGGGCGCAAGCCUGAUGCAGCCAUGCCGCGUGUAUGAAGAAGGCCUUCGGGUUGUAAAGUACUUUCAGUCGUGAGGAAGGCGGCGUCGUUAAUAGCGGCGUUGUUUGACGUUAGCGACAGAAGAAGCACCGGCUAACU